rnacentral:misc_RNA from 1 species
CUAUUGGAGGAGAUUUGUCAAUCAGAUUGCACCUUAUAGGGUCAACAGACAACUCACCACCAUGAUCUGGCUUCGUCCUGCCAAAGGAUAUACAUGCUGAAUGUUCAUCCUCUUCAAACGUUGUAUCCAAAGCAGAUAUUGGACUAGGUUCGUCCUGGCUCUCACAUUGAUUUUCCAAGGGCAAAGAUUUUGAUACAAACAGGCCAACCUCAGGAGAAAUUAUGCCUUGCUCCCCAAAGGAAUUCUGGGAAACUAGUUUGCCUGGUGAUUUAUGAAGAUCAGCUGACGAGAACUCACGUCCCAGAUCAACUUUUGCAGGACAAUAUGAAGACUUAACGCCAGACUGCACUUCAUUGUUGGAUUGCAGAUGGCGUCCGUUGUCUUUGCUUGGUUUUCUGUUCCUUGAGAACAACAGAUUUUUCAGUGACAAUUUUGUGCUUCUUGGUUUUGUUGUCUCUUCAGGAAGGUUGGGUUUUCCUGUCUCAUGACCUGGAACAUCUGCAUUCAACAGCGUACCGAAUUCAGACGAAGAUACAGGAACAGAUUUAGACCUCAAGAGGUUCCUUGGUGACUCAUCAAUGCCUUCAUCACAAUUGGAAUUAUUCAUCAAGUUGGAAUAUGAAGUUCCAGGCUCUUCUUUGCUAAUCUCCUGCUCCAUUCCUCCAGCAUGCUUUGUGUCAGAAAGAGCAAGCAUCUCACCUAAUGUACUGGACCUUCUUCGAAGAUGUCUUUGUUCCGGAAAACUUCCAUUAGAGGACACCAUUGCCCAUCUCUCCGAAAGUCGCUUCUUGGCUUCUCUAGAAACCGAAGAUUCUGGGGAAUAAGAUGCACGGCUCAAGGAG